ensembl:lncRNA
CUUGCGGGGAGGCCCGGGUGGCCCCGAGGGCUCCCCUCCUGAGGGGCUCCCCGCCACCUCAAGCUCCUCGCUGAGCGCAGCAGCCACUCAGGCAGUGCUGGCCGGCCGAGCGGGCCCUGUGAGAGCAGCGCGUGUGACACCUUGUCGGUGUCGGCUCCUGGAUCUGUGUAAUUAGCACGGCUGCUCUGGCCGGGGCGAUGCUGUCUGUGGCGGUCAGAGCAGGAAGACAGCUCCCUGUCUGCAGACUGGAUCGGGCCAUCGCACGGUCUCAGACUCCUCUCCUGGCUUAGGGACCAGGGUGCCGACCACAGCCCCGUGGAUAGGAGGAGAACUGCAGCGGCCAGCCCGAGUCGGCUUCAGUCCACGCGGCCGUUGUGUGCCGAGCAGCUACGACAAGACAGUGCUUCAUCCUGAGGGCUCAGAGACCAAAGUGAACGCAGGGUCCUCUGCUGGGGACACCGGGGACACAGGGUGCUGCCACACAGAGCCAGGCCCAGGGAGACACACAGGCCCGGGCCCCUCCCUGGUGUGCAGCGCGAAGGCUCCCUCGCAGCCUGUCCCUGAGCUCUGGGCCGCACCCUGCCUGUGUGGGGCAGCCGGACUGGGCGGGGGCCCUUCUGCCUCCUGUGCCAGAGUCGUCUCCGAGGGCUGAGGUAGCGUCUAAAGCUGCUCCGGGAAGGAGGCCCCGUACAGCUGGGCACUGUCCCAGACUCCGGCUCCAGGAGGGCCCCAUGGACCCCGCAAGGGGGCUGCCAAGGGGCAGCGGAGGCUGCGGUGUCCCCAGCUUCGCUCCACCCGGCCCCGCGCUGGCCCUGCUCAUGCGCCUGUCAUGGCGUGGGAGAGGCUGGGGACUCGGGCUCCAGCGAGACACAGCAGGCAGAGCCCCGAGUGGGCCCGGAGCACUGUCCAUGUCCAGCUGGGCAGGAGCAGGGAGGGGGCUGCUGACCCUGCCCAGACCUCUGUCACCAGCUUCCCUCGGUGAAGAGGCUUCCUGCCACCACAUAAUGCCAGAGCAGGUCCACACGGUCCCCAGGCUGGGCGGCACUGGGGACAGGGAGGAGGCGCAAGCCCUGUGCAGCCCCGCCUCUGUCCUUGGUGGGAGGGGAGGGCUCGGCCCAGGGCCAGGAGCAGCUCCGAGGACAGAUGCAGCUGGGAGCCAGGGGUUCCCAGAGCCAGAGGCAGCCUCACGGUGCCUCCCACGAUCCUGACACACGGCCCCUGCAACACUCCAGUUCCAAACCACAGCUGCCCAGAGGAGGUGGCGGCUUCCUUGGCCCCAGGGCACAACACCCACUCUGCUCCUCAGCAGCCCCUGCGAACAGCAAACGGUGCCCAGAGCCGUCCUGCCAUGGGGGAGGCCGCUCUGUGCGAAUCUACUGCGCUCACCUCUCUAGGGGUGAAGAAUGCACUCCCCAGGGAGGGGGCUGCUCUGAAAGGGCCCCCUCUGCCUAGAGGGCCGGGCCCCAGGAGGCUGGGCUGCACUUCUGGGAUCCCUCGCACCUUGGGUCACCUCCAUUCCAGGCGCCAAACCCCGCUGGGUGACAACUGUCCUUCUAAAGUCCCAGGGUGCUCAUUGGGGGCCAUCCCUGCGGAAUGGGGCUGGCCCGGGAGAUCUGCCCACCAGUUAGCCCUCACGAUCCCUCCAUGCAUGGCCUUGGUCCGGGAUGAGGAUGGACAGGAUGCAGCGUGCCCCAGAAGGACUCUGCUCCUGCGGCCCCAGCCUGGCACUCGCCGCUGCCUGGCUUCUCACUCCCGCACUGGGCAGCAGUUCGGGCGGCCAGGCCUGCAGCUGUGUGUGACGGCCCAGUCUCUGUCUGGCCUCCCGCUCUCUGGGCUCACUGCCCACUGCCCUAUGCCGGGUGCUGCUGGGCCAGGACCUGGCGGCCGCGCCCCAGGACAGGGCUGGAGCAGAGGAGGGAGCCACAUGUGUGUGACACGGGGCUCACGGUCACCAGCACCAUUCCGCAGGGUGCAGGGCUGCAGGGCUGGGACACAGUGGCCUUCCUAGAACUGUCCCGGGGCCACCACGGGGCUGUUUCCCAGGAGUCAACACGGCCCUCAGUAGCCAGCCUGUCGGGAGGCGUGCACAACACGGGGUGUGGGUGUGGCUGCGUGCCUGGGUUCUGGGGGCAUUUGUGUGGUGUGGAUGUGGGUGGGUGUCUGGUGUGUAUGUGCGGUGUGGUGCAUGUGUCUGUAGGGCUGUGGGUGUGCGUAUGGGACACGCAUGGUAUAUGUGGAGUGUGGUUUUGUAGAGGUGUGCAUAUGUAUGUGGCAUGUAGUGUGGAGUGUGUGAGUUGCAUGCAAAGUGUGUUGUGUCUAUGGGAGUGGUACAUGCAUAUGUACACAUGUGUAUGAGUGUGGUACAUGGAAAGUGUGUUGUGUGUGUGGCGAAGCCCAACCGACCUCCAUUGCUGCUUGACAAAGUUCCAGCUGGGGGAAGGAAAGGGUGGAACACAUCGAACCCUCAUAUUUUUUUUUUUCUUGCCAUAAUGUUUAUAAUUGUUACUCUGGUCACAGGAGGCAUUGUGUUUGUGACUAACAACAAACUCUCCAUGAGGCAAAUUGGCAAUGAUAUAUUGAAAUUUGAUCUGGCUCAAAAGUCCCAAAUUCCAGUUUCUCUUAGUUCUAUUGCCACAUCCACUCCUAAAGAAACCUUUCCUAAAACCCCCUCUGUUUUCCCACUACUAUAACUCCCCCUCUUAUUGUUGACAUUCUUUUUACUAAAGGGGUCUUAUAAAGAGAUUGAAAGGACAGACUUUAGAUGUAAGAAAUAGUGGGGAAUGGGAAAUAAAAAGAACGUUAAGACAGGUAAAUGCAUUAAGGAGGCAAGUUACUCAAUAUUUCUCAAAGUGCUGUAAAUAUCUCCUGCUCAUGGACUAUGAACCCAAAUGACAUUUAGUUAAGAUGAACAGAGGUAAAAAGAACAUAGAGAGCUAAUAGCAAACUAUAUUAACCAUUGUGCAGUUUCUCAAGGGCUAGCUGGUGACCACAAGUUUGACAUUUAAUUUGAUUAAGUUACUUUCUGUUCUGCUUAGGUAUGGGACAAUGAGGGAACAAUUGCAGUUUUUAAGAAAUGUAUUCAUGAUGUUCAAUGAAAUGAAUCAGCUUAGAAAAAAUAUACUGUUUAACAAAAAUAACCUGUACCUCAUCAGAUAUUGCUAAGGCAACAUGUUCCACCCAAUGCCUCUUCGCUAUUGCUUAAAGAUAUAAAAAUAAAUCAGACCCUGAGACUUCUCAGAGGGAACCUGAACAUUGCUUGUAAAGGUUCUUUUCUCAUCGCCGGCCCAGGACAUCUCCCCUUCCUACCCUACAUCGACUGCAGCUGGUCUGCGGCAUGUGUGGACUGUGUGGAUAGAGGGUGUGGUAAUGUGGAAUGUGUGUAUUGUGAGUGUAUAAUGUGUGUCAAAUGUAU